rnacentral:rRNA from 1 species
CCUACGGGAGGCAGCAGUGAGGAAUAUUGGUCAAUGGACGAGAGUCUGAACCAGCCAAGUAGCGUGAAGGAUGACUGCCCUAUGGGUUGUAAACUUCUUUUAUAUGGGAAUAAAAUGUUACACGUGUGGGAUUUUGUAUGUACCAUAUGAAUAAGGAUCGGCUAACGCCGCGCCAGCAGCCGCGGUAAUACGGAGGAUCCGAGCGUUAUCCGGAUUUCUUGGGUUUAAAGGGAGCGUAGGUGGAUUGGUAAGUCAGUUGUGAAAGUUUGCGGCUCAACCGUAAAAUUGCAGUUGAAACUGGCAGUCUUGAGUGCAGUAGAGGUGAGCGGAAUUCGUGGUGUAGCGGUGAAAUGCUUAGAUAUCACGAAGAACUCCGAUUGCGAAGGCAGCUCACUGGACUGCAACUGACACUGAGGCUCGAAAGUGUGGGUAUCAAACAGGAUUAGAUACCCCGGUAGUC